rnacentral:lncRNA from 1 species
AACUAAAACAGAAAUUCCAAAUUAAAAAGUUAGAGAAAAGCUUCAUUCUACUUGACUGUGCUACUAUCAAUAGCCAGGUCAUUUUCUCCGAAAACAGUGACAAAAGGUUAGCUGUGCACGAUAUCAAUGGAUCUUUCAUUCGAGAUUUCAAACUGUCAGAAAAACUUUGUUGUAUAUCAUUAAUAAAUGAAAAUUCUGUAGUUGUCACCAACAAUAAAUCCCACAUGCAGAUAAUAAAUAUAAACACCGGACAAGUACAGGAUGAUAUUAAAACAAGCGGUGAUAGCUUCUGGGUAUUCUAUGAGAAUAAACUAUUGUAUGCUAUAUCGAUAAGAAAAUGAUGGAUGUAAUAACUCUGGAAGGGGAAGUAAUCCGAUCAUUUCAUUCUGCUGAGUCUCCUAUUUGGUACAUUGCAGCUGCUACCAAUAAUUUAUUCUUUACUGAUCACUUGCACUAUACAUUGUAUUGUUGCUACCUGUAUGGAUCAGUCAUAUGGAAGUUUACAAACGAGAAGAUGAAGCGUUCAUAUAGCGUCACAUGUGAUGGGAAUGGAAAUGCGUAUGUAGUUUGCUCAUUAUCUAACAAUGUUGUAGUGGUUUCAUCUAAUGAAAAUUCAGAAAGAUAAUCUGCGGAACCCAACGGGAGUUCAUUACGACAAAGCAGGGAACAAUCUAUUGGUGUUCAAUAGGUCGAGUGGUAAAGUAUUGCUCUAUGAAAUAAAUGAUUCAAAGCGAG